rnacentral:rRNA from 1 species
GGUUUCCGUAGGUGAACCUGCGGAAGGAUCAUUGUCGAAAACUGCAUAGUUAAGCCACAUGUUUACUUGUUUUUAACCAUUCCUUGUUGUUUGCAGGAAGGCUGCCUUGGCUGCCUCCUACGAUGACAUGAACAAUUUUCGGCGCGGAAUGCGUCAAGGAAAACAGUCAUUAACGUAAGGCUAGCCCCUCUUGCUGCUGUUUGGUUGUCUUGAGGGUGUUGCAUCGUUGAAAUAUUUGGUUUAAUGACUCUCGGCAACGGAUAUCUCGGCUCUUGCAUCGAUGAAGAACGUAGCGAAAUGCGAUACUUGGUGUGAAUUGCAGAAUCCCGUGAACCAUCGAGUCUUUGAACGCAAGUUGCGCCUGAAGCUAUUUGGCUGAGGGCACGUCUUCCUGGGUGUCAUACUUUGCGCAGCCCCCCUCACCCUUCCACAACGUGGAUGAGAGGGGCGGAGAUUGGUCUCCUAUGUGACUUGUGCACAUGGGUGUCUUAAACAUGGAGCUUGAUGCAGUGAGCACUGUGAUGAAUGGUGGUUGGAUGGGCCUUUUGCCCUAGAAGCAUCUUGUCAGGAAGUGCCGUGUCGAGUUUUUGCUCGGAGGAUUUGAAUAGGUGUGAAUUAUAUGUGAAUAAAUUGCUAUGAUUUGUCAACAGUCGCGACCCCAGGUUA